GACGAACGCUGGCGGCGUGCCUAAUACAUGCAAGUAGAACGCUGAAGCUUGGUGCUUGCACCGAGCGGAUGAGUUGCGAACGGGUGAGUAACGCGUAGGUAACCUGCCUGGUAGCGGGGGAUAACUAUUGGAAACGAUAGCUAAUACCGCAUAAGAGUAGAUGUUGCAUGACAUUUGCUUAAAAGGUGCAAUUGCAUCACUACCAGAUGGACCUGCGUUGUAUUAGCUAGUUGGUGAGGUAACGGCUCACCAAGGCAACGAUACAUAGCCGACCUGAGAGGGUGAUCGGCCACACUGGGACUGAGACACGGCCCAGACUCCUACGGGAGGCAGCAGUAGGGAAUCUUCGGCAAUGGACGGAAGUCUGACCGAGCAACGCCGCGUGAGUGAAGAAGGGUUUCGGAUCGUAAAGCUCUGUUGUAAGAGAAGAACGAGUGUGAGAGUGGAAAGUUCACACUGUGACGGUAUCUUACCAGAAAGGGACGGCUAACUACGUG
rnacentral:rRNA from 1 species